rnacentral:lncRNA from 1 species
UGGUAAUACAGCAAUUCUGCUUUACUUUUUCUAAAAUUUACUCAAUUUACAUUGACUUGUUUGCUCUCUUUCAUUCUUUUUGACACAGCAUUACAAAGAGAUUACUUAAGUGAGCGAAAACCAGACCAUACAUUUCUUGCAAUUUCCAUAAAUCCACUGUGGAACUUCAAAAGCAAUAUUUAAAAAUGGGAGAUGACUACCAAAAGCUCAGUUCUAGGGGUUUUAUUCCAACUAAUCUUAGCCGGUUCAGCCAAUAAACACUUCUGGAAGAUUAGAAGAUGAGAAGAGAGAGAUGCCAGGGGAUUCCUUUUACUCCUUUUUUUCUAACCUUCAAAUGACAUUGCCAGCAUUGGUGAUCUUGACUACGUGUGUAUGCUUUCUCUGCCACCAACUACACCACAUUGGCGCUCAUACCUUCGAGGUAAGAGUAGUGUGGGAAUAAACCCAAGCAAUAGUCUAUCUUGCUCUGAUUCCCCAUGCAGAACACCAAGU